rnacentral:lncRNA from 1 species
AAUCAUAAAAUUUUAAGUUUACUUUCAUUAAAAAAUAAAACGUGCUUUUUCGCGUGCCGUGUUUUGGCCCAUUUCUAAUCGUGCCGUGCUUUUAAGGCCCGCGUGCCUAAAAUCUAAGCCUGACAUAGCCCACAUGCGUGCUGUGUCGUGCCGCGUGCUCUGCUGAGACGUGCUCGUGCUGUGCCGUGCUGUACGGACACGUGCCGUGCCCGUGCCGUCCAGCCCAUUGGCCAUCUCUAUACCAAACACUCAAUGGCAUUUGGCGGAUUUUUUUACGAGUUUAUACAUUUAAAAUCACAAAAUGUUCAAUAUAUAAAUUUACAAUAAUAACCUCAAAUUCGAAAUAACAUACUCAAUAUUAAAUUUAACCAAUGUAAAUGAAAAAUUAAAAUUUCAACAUCAAUCCAACACAAAUUCUCAAAUUGAAGUAUAAACUACACAAAUCCAUUUUAAAAAAAUCCACAUACGAGUAUCUAAAAAUAACAAUUAUAUUUUAUAUUAUCAUUCAACACAAGUCUCCAAGAUAAUAUUUUCAUUUCAUUCACCAUCAUUAGCACCCAUCUAACAUGAUGCCUACAAUAAUGAUUAAGAUUAAUAUUUUCAAAUAUUAAUUCGAAAAAAAAUUACCAUAAUGAAAUAAUUCAUGCAUUAAGUUAAAGAAAAAUAGACCAUACAAAAAUACUUUAGUUAUCUGGCACUUUGCAUAAUUGCAUUAUGU